UGGGGAAUAUUGGACAAUGGGGGCAACCCUGAUCCAGCCAUGCCGCGUGUGUGAAGAAGGCCUUCGGGUUGUAAAGCACUUUAAGUGGGGAAAAAGGCUCGUUAGCUAAUAUCUAACGGGAUUGAUACUACCCACAGAAUAAGCACCGGCUAACUCUGUGCCAGCAGCCGCGGUAAUACAGAGGGUGCAAGCGUUAAUCGGAAUUACUGGGCGUAAAGCGCGCGUAGGCGGCUGCCUAAGUCGGGUGUGAAAGCCCCGGGCUCAACCUGGGAACUGCACUCGAUACUGGGCGGCUAGAGUAUGAGAGAGGGAGGUAGAAUUCCACGUGUAGCGGUGAAAUGCGUAGAUAUGUGGAGGAAUACCGGUGGCGAAGGCGGCCUCCUGGUUCAAUACUGACGCUGAGGUGCGAAAGCGUGGGGAGCAAA
rnacentral:rRNA from 1 species